rnacentral:rRNA from 1 species
UACGGGGGGGGCAAGCGUUGUUCGGAAUUACUGGGCGUAAAGGGCUCGUAGGCGGCCAACUAAGUCCGACGUGAAAUCCCCAGGCUUAACCUGGGAACUGCGUCGGAUACUGGAUGGCUUGAAUCCGGGAGAGGGAUGCGGAAUUCCAGGUGUAGCGGUGAAAUGCGUAGAUAUCAGGAGGAACACCGGUGGCGAAGGCGGGUCUCUGGGCCGAUAUUGACGCUGAGGAGCGAAAGCGUGGGGAGCGAACAGG